UACGUAGGGGGCAAGCGUUGUCCGGAAUCAUUGGGCGUAAAGCGCGUGUAGGCGGCUCGGUAAGUCCGCUCUGAAAGUCCGGGGCUCAACCCCGGGAGGCGGGUGGAUACUGUCGAGCUCGAGUCCGGAAGAGGCGAGUGGAAUUCCUGGUGUAGCGGUGAAAUGCGCAGAUAUCAGGGGGAACACCGAUGGCGAAGGCAGCUCGCUGGGACGUGACUGACGCUGAGACGCGAAAGCGUGGGGAGCAAACAGG
rnacentral:rRNA from 1 species